rnacentral:rRNA from 1 species
GACGAACGCUGGCGGCGUGCUUAACACAUGCAAGUCGAACGGUGAAGCGCCUUCCUUUUUGGUGGGUGUGGAUGAGUGGCGAACGGGUGAGUAACACGUGAGUAACCUGCCCCCUUCUUCUGGAUAACCGCAUGAAAGUGUGGCUAAUACGGGAUAUUCUGGGUCUGUCGCAUGAUGGGUCUGGGAAAGAUAUUGUUUCGGUGGGGGAUGGGCUCGCGGCCUAUCAGCUUGUUGGUGGGGUGAUGGCCUACCAAGGCGGUGACGGGUAGCCGGCCUGGGAGGGUGGCCGGUCACACUGGGACUGAGCCACGGCCCAGACUCCUACGGGAGGCAGCAGUGGGGAAUAUUGCACAAUGGGCGCAAGCCUGAUGCAGCGACGCCGCGUGAGGGAUGGAGGCCUUCGGGUUGUGAACCUCUUUCGCCAGUGAAGCAGGCCUGCCUCGUUUGUGGGUGGGUUGACGGUAGCUGGAGAAGAAGCGCCGGCUAACUACGUG